CCUCCCGCCCGCCCGACGCCCGCCCGAGCCCCCGGCGACGCGGGGCCGGGGUCCGGGCCGCUCACCUGGACCGCGGUCCCUCAGGCGCCAGCCGAGCCUCGCCGCCCACCCCGCCCCCGCCCCACAGGCCCGCGACCCGCUGACACCGAGGCGGAAGUGCGGCCGGCCGCCAGGCAGACUGACAGCCGGCGCUCUCCACUCGCCGCGCCCGGCGCCGGAGCGUCAGCGGCCGUCCGCCCAAUCCGCGCCCGGCCCGAGGGCCGCGCCGGGAGGCGGGACUAUGCUAAUCAUUUGCGGGAGCGGCAACCCCCGUUGCCCCACGGGAGUCCCGCCCGCGCGGAGGAGUGACGCCACGGACAGCCAGUCACAGCAGGCAGAGGCGGGGUUAUGCAGAUAUUGACCCUAGACCUCUCCAGAACUGGGCCGGCUGAGAGAAAGACGCUGUCUGGAGCUACUUACUGGGCGUCUUGCCACCGUGAGGGAUGUGGCGCCCGGGAAUGAGGCCAGCCCAGAGGGAAGCGAGAGCACACGUCCUGGGUCACCUGGAACAGCUACACCCUAAGCAGGCUCUGUCCUAGACUUUUCAGUUACAGGAGCUACUGUAUUUUCUUUUCUGCUGAAGCCAGUUUGAGUACAAAGGAAUACUGGGUCUUGCACCCCCAACAGUACUGACAGAGUAGUCGUGACCACAUGGCACAUGGAGACAGUCCCGCUCACGGCCGCCUCUUCCACAAAGCCGGACCCCACCCCCACCGUGCCCCACCCGGCCUCCUGUCCCCCAAUGCUGGUCUCCGUGCUGCCGCCUCAGAAUGUGAUUCCCCAUCUCUAGCAAGGAGGAGGUACUGACAGGUCACCCCAGCAGGACUAAGGGUGCCUUGAGGGCAGGGGCCGGCCUCGACUGAGUGGAUGGGGUCUCCGGCAGGGGUGGGGCCCAGAGAUCCCGUCAUCCCCCAUCCUAGAGACUGGCCCAGCUCACUGGUGGGCCCUGUCACUGCCGACGUGCUGGGACUGAAAAGGAGCUCUCCCAACCUCUGCUGUAGAGAGAAACCAGGAGGGGGUGGGGCCAAGCCUCCGAAACAAAGGCGUUGCCAUGGUUACCCCUGAAGAAACCGACCCCAGCAGAAGAGGGAGGUGUGUGCAGGCCCCCAAGCCAGGACCAGGACAAGGCCUGUUGCCAUGGAGAUGCUCCAAAGCUUCCCUUGUGGGCCUGGCCAAAGUCCAGUGCAGGGUCCCGAAACCACCACCCCUCAUUCGAAGACGGGGCUUUGCGAUUCUGACCUAGGGCAAAGGACACGCCCCGAGGGAUUCAACCUGCCGGCCCACCCCGUGGCCAUGACCUCUGGGGUGAGUGCGGUAUCGGGGAGCUAGGGCCAGAGGAGAGGCUGGAAUGGACAGAGUCUCCUGUCUGCCCACGGGCCACACCAGGGCUGAGCUUGACCACCUCUGCCCUGGCCUUGGAGUGAGGUAGGGUCUGACCCCAGGUGGGCCCUGCGGCUGGGAUAUCAGUUUACCCCCUUUUAACAGAUGCAAUAAACUGAGCUCCAAGGAUCAGGUGCUGGUCCUUCCUGGUCCCCGAGGCCAGGACUGAGUGAGAAUCCCCUCUUGGCUGAUGGCUGGGAGGACGGCACCUGGGACCCAACGCAGGAGCAUUUUUCCUGAUCUUCAGUAGGUCAAGAGGCCAAUUCCAGAGCCAAAAUUCUCUAAGAAUGGGACAGAAGAUGGGAGUGGAAAAGGAGACAGAGGGUUUGGGGCCAUGCGAUGAUGGUGGUGGUGGCUGACAUCAUCCAGUGGGUGACAUGUCUUGUCCAGUUUCAUGCCUGCGACGGCCAACCGAGUAGAUACCAUGUGUGAUUCCCACUGUGCAGAUGAGCAGACUGAGCCUGUGCUGAGGAAGCGGCCCAGGAGCUUGUCAGAAAGACAGAGACCUGCCCAGACCUCCCCACCGGGUCUGCCCCUGAACCAGAUGCCCAGCUGUUCCUGGGUGGCUGGGGCCCUGUGGGACUCCAUAUGGGUCACCAUAUCAACUACUGUUGACCUACCCACUGGCGGGGAAUUGUCACAGAGUCUCCUCCAUCCUGAGCGCUCAGGCCUGGCUUGGCUCCCAGGGUCCCCUCAGGAUCCCGGGGGUCCAUCCACGUAUGCUGGGCUGGUAUGUAACUUUCAGGGUGCCUGCUCCUGCAGGAACUGCUCUCCGACCAGGCCAACCCCAAGAGUGUCUGUGUGUCCCUCACCGCCCCAGAACUAGAACCUCCCUGUCCCACGUCCCGCACGAGGCUCAGUUGAUAUCGUGACCCAGCAGCCCUGUGGGUGGCUGCCCAGCCUCCCCUCAGCAGCUGGCCGACCUGUAGGCCCGGUGCCCGGAAGCCCCAAAUGUGUGGGAACGCGUGCCCCUGCUGUGCCGUCAGGAGGCACAUUCACACGCACUACCCUCCUGGCUGUCUCCCCGAGAGGACGCAGAACACGGAUGAUGCCUCCUUCAGAUGGGGAAACUGAGGCUCAGGCAGCAGAGCAGGCUGUCCGCUCGCUGCAGAGCCGGCCGGCAGCCAGAGCCACCCCGUAAACCCAACCGGGCUGGGCGUCCAGGAGUGCCGAUGCCCGCACUGCUGGCCUGGCCUUUGCCUUGGAAGGGGGCGGGGCGGGGCCCGAGGCUCAGCCCUCUCCCUGCCACCCACGGGCCUUUGCAGAGACACUUUCCGCUCUCUU